UACGGAGGGGACUAGCGUUGUUCGGAAUUACUGGGCGUAAAGCGCACGUAGGCGGAUCUGUAAGUCAGGGGUGAAAUCCCGGGGCUCAACCUCGGAACUGCCUUUGAUACUGCAAAUCUCGAGUCCGGAAGAGGUGAGUGGAAUUCCUAGUGUAGAGGUGAAAUUCGUAGAUAUUAGGAAGAACACCAGUGGCGAAGGCGGCUCACUGGUCCGGUACUGACGCUGAGGUGCGAAAGCAUGGGUAGCGAACAGG
rnacentral:rRNA from 1 species